rnacentral:rRNA from 1 species
UACGGAGGGGGCUAGCGUUGUUCGGAAUUACUGGGCGUAAAGCGCACGUAGGCGGCUUUGUAAGUUAGAGGUGAAAGCCCGGGGCUCAACUCCGGAAUUGCCUUUAAGACUGCAUCGCUAGAAUUGUGGAGAGGUAAGUGGAAUUCCGAGUGUAGAGGUGAAAUUCGUAGAUAUUCGGAAGAACACCAAUGGCGAAGGCAGCUCUCUGGGACGGUACUGACGCUGAGACGCGAAAGCGUGGGGAGCGAACAGG